rnacentral:rRNA from 1 species
UACGUAGGGGGCAAGCGUUGUCCGGAAUUACUGGGCGUAAAGCGCACGUAGGCGGAUAUUUAAGUCAGGGGUGAAAUCCCAGAGCUCAACUCUGGAACUGCCUUUGAUACUGGGUAUCUUGAGUAUGGAAGAGGUAAGUGGAAUUGCGAGUGUAGAGGUGAAAUUCGUAGAUAUUCGCAGGAACACCAGUGGCGAAGGCGGCUUACUGGUCCAUUACUGACGCUGAGGUGCGAAAGCGUGGGGAGCAAACAGGG